UGUACAUAUCAAAAUCUGCAAGAAAGUAAAACGAACUCAUUAUUUAUUUUAGAAACAUGAUGUAUGUGUUAUAUAUAGAAUUUCUAAAUGCUUGAUGAUGAGAAAGCUGCAAACUAAGUCAGAUACAGCACUGACCUAGAAAGCAUUGAGACCCUGCACUAUAUGUGAUAAGUACAAAUGCUUUUCUAACUUUAUUUACUUUUAACUUGCUGGCCGAUCUUUUCUUUUGUGUGAUAGAAUCAGCUCCUAAAGUGUACCGUGGCCUACAUCUGUGAAUUUAAACUAAGGAAAUGGCUCCUGUUCUCACUGAAGAAAUAUAGAAGAGGAAGUGGAGGAGCUUGGUUUCCAAGGAAAGAAGCUGGAGAACAGUGCAGAAAGAAGAAAGCUGUGAAUGAAAUAGAGGGCAAGUGGAAGUCAGACCUUUAUUCUCAUUGCUGCAUCCAUUGCUGUCUUGGGGCAGUGAAGAGGGCUCCUGUUUGCCUCUCUGCACAGUUUCACUGA
rnacentral:lncRNA from 1 species